rnacentral:rRNA from 1 species
AUGUCCAAUGGCCAUUGGAAUUUUAUCUAUCCUUCUAUUUUUCAAGAUAAUUCAGAUUUGUUGGCGAAAAAGCGAAGAAAUAGGUUCGUCAUUCCAUUACAAUAUCAUCAAGAACAAGAGAAAGAACUAAUAUCCUGUUUUGGAAUUUCGAUUGAAAUCCCCCUUAUGGGUGUUUUACGUAGAAAUACUAUAUUUGCUUAUUUUGACGAUCCCCGAUACAGAAAAGAUAAAAAGGGUUCAGGAAUUGUUAAAUUUAGAUAUAGGACCCUAGAAGAAGAAUAUAGGACUCGAGCGGAAGACUCAGAAGAGGAAUAUGAGACCCUAGAAGAUGAAUACAGGACCCGAGAGGACGAAUAUGAAUAUGAAACCCUAGAAGAAUCUAAAUAUCGAAUCCUAGAAGACGAAUACGAAUAUGAAACCCUAGAAGACGAAUAUGGGAGCCCAGAAAACGAAUAUGGGAACCCAGAGAACGAAUAUAGGACUUUAGAGAAAGUCUCGGAAGAGGAAUAUGGGAGCCCAGAGAGCAAAUAUAGGACCCAAGAGGACGAAUAUGGUACUCUAGAGGAAGACUCAGAAGACGAAUAUGGCAGCCCCGGGGAAAGCGCAGAGGAAAAAUAUGGUACUUUAGAGGAAGACUCAGAAGAAGAUUCAGAGGACGAAUACGAGAGCCCAGAGGAAGAUUCCAUCUUAAAAAAAGAGGGUUUGAUUGAGCAUCGAGGAACAAAAGAAUUUAGUCUAAAAUACCAAAAAGAAGUAGAUCGGUUUUUUUUCAUUCUUCAAGAACUUCAUAUCUUGCCGAGAUCUUCAUCCCUAAACAUACUUGACAAUAGUAUUAUUGGAGUGGAUACACAACUCACAAAAAAUACAAGAAGUCGACUAGGCGGACUGGUCCGAGUGAAGAGAAAAAAAAAGCCAUACGGAACUCAAAAUAUUUUCCGGAGAUAUUCAUUUUCCUGA